rnacentral:rRNA from 1 species
UUUAAGCAUAUCCCUCAGUGGAGGAAAUGCAAGCAACAGCGAGCUCCUAAGUAACGGCGAGUGAACCAGCAAGGCACAAGCAGAACAGAGGGGUUGUUUGUGAAGUGGGCUCCCCUCGAGAUACAAUCACACGAGAUUCCCUGUCAAAGACCCCAUGCUAUGGGGCAGAUCUACUAGUCAAGACCUGUGACCGGCUGUCUCAGACUGUUGGCAAUCUUGUCAAGCAAUCAUCAUGCUGUGAGCUGAGGGAGCUGCUGGUGGACUCUGGUUGUGACCCUGGCACCAGGCAAAGGGCUCUGGAAUGAGCCACAAGUGUGGGUGACAGUCCCCAACCACAGCUGUGUGCCUGGGGUUCACUGGAGUUCCUGCCAGUUGGCAUCCUGGAGUAGAGUGGCUUGGGACUGCAGYUUGAAGUGUGAUGUGUAUCCAUCACAAGGAAGCAUACAGACCUGGGACCGAUAGCGCACAAGUAGAGCAAUCGAAGGAUGCAAAGAACUCCGCGAAGAGGGUUAAAAGCCCCUGAAGCCGUCAUGGGAACGGUGGUGAGUGGUGCUGUGGCUGUGUGAAGGUGCUACCUCCUCCCUGCUUGGAGGCCUGAUGUUGCUUACAAGGCACACACAAGAUGUGUGGAUCAAUGAGAUUCCUGCUGGACUCUCUCCCCAGCAGUGGAGAGACAGGGGCAUUCCCUUCCGAAGACCGUCCAAGCACCCUUGGGCCAGCCCUGGGCUGGUCACUGAGCCCUCACCCUGGUGUGUGGGGAUGCAGUCGUGACAGCCAUCAAGGUGGCACCCUGCCUGUCAGGGCCUGAGGGGAUGCUAUGAUUGUGAAGGCAAACAGCAGUGGUCUGACCAACCAACUGACUCAGUGCAAGUGUGACUCAAAGGCAAGGCAAAAGCAGUGCUGACAUACACCCAAAAGCCCUGGGCUGCUGUGUGGUGGUUCUCUGCUGAGACCCCACACACACCAGGGUCCACUGGGGCUCCCCAAUGGAUCUGGGGUCUGGCACCUGUGUGGGUGGCUGCACCAUUCUGACUGGUGGCCGCUGCACUGGGCUUGCUGACCCCCCACUGGAGGCCCCAGUGCAGAAGAUGUGUGGAUUCUGAGCUUGGCCCAUCCUGUGGUGGUGCUGCUCUCUGCCCGUCUUGAAACACGGACCAAGGAGUCUAUGGAGUGUGCAGAGGUUGCAUGGAGCUCAAAGUGUCAAACCACAGGGCGUGGUGAAGGCAAAACACAAGGGAGACACACCAGAGGCCUGCUCAAACCAAGGCAUGUGUGGCUAUAUCUCCUCCGUCCCAGAUUGUGUCUGAAUCAGGCCAAAAGGCAAGGGCCAACACAUCUUCUCCUGCAUGGGAUCACCAGUCCCGAAGUCCAUUGGACAGGGUUUUGAGUGCUUGCAUGGUCCAUGGGACCCGAAAGGUGGUGAACUAUACCAUUCUACAGCGAAGCCAUGGGAAACUGUGGUGGAGGCUGGUCCGCUGUUCUGACGUGCAAAUSGUGUAGCCUGAGCGUGGCAUAGGGGUGAAAGGCCAAUCGAGCCACCUAGUAGCUGGUUCCCUUCGAAGUUUCCCUCAGGAUAGCUGGGCUCAGAUGCAAAGGAUCUCUGAAGACAAAUGACAGUCAAGGUAAAGCAGACUGACACCGUUGGUUGCGUCCGGUAAAGCAACGCAUGAGAGGCAUCUUCCGGGGGACCCCUGUCCCUCGACCUAUUCUCGAACUGUGAAUGGGCGCGGCAAACCCAAACAGUAAUACAGUACCUUCUCAGUGUGAUUUCAACAGGAAGGCAUGCUUCUUCACUUGCCCUGGAGGCCAUUGCUCACACAGUGGUUCUUCCCUGCAAAGGGCAUCAUUUCUGAGCAUGUUCACAGGCAAAUGCUGCCACAACAGAGAACACAGGGGCCUAUGUGGGCCAUGACUGGUAAGCAGUGCUGGCGAUGCGGGGUGCUCCGAGAGUGGAUUUACAGAUCCGGAAUGCUGGCUCAUACUCAGAACCCACAAAGGAUGUUGCCUGCUCUGGAUAGCAGGACGGUGGCCAUGAAGGUUGGAACCCGCUGAGGAAUGUGUAACAACUCACCUGCCGAAGCGUGCAGCUCCGAAAAUGGAUGGUGCCCAAGUCAGUUGGAUGCAGCAUGGUUUACACCAUGGAGUCUCCCUCACAAUCCACCGUUAGCUGUGGAUAGCCAAAGCAGAGCAUCAACGUGUAGAAAGGGCAUGAGAGACAAGGCUGAGCCGGUUGGGGUUGCCCCUGACUGGAGUGUCUUUUGGCGCAGAUCUUGGUUGUAGUAGCGAAUACUCCAUUGAGUGAAACAAGGGUGUGGCACACAGCCCACUGCAAGGCUGCUCCCUGUGGGUGGCUGCGUGGUGGUGCCUGUUCUGUGCCUAAACCUCCGCCAUGUGCGGUUGAGGACUGGAGUGGAGCAGGUUUCCACACCAAACAGCCGUUGAAUGUGGGUCAACCGACCGUGAGUCAAGUGGUAAGUUCACAGAUGUCAACCAAAGCUGCCAAGGAGAGUCAUCCCAUCAGGCAAGAGACAAGGCCAACAGUCCCUCUGGCUCCCCUGGUGUGUGAUGUGCUUUGAGUACCAACAACGUCAUAGCUCGUAUGGGCAGGAAUGGCAAACAGGCAAGCAAGUGCAACAUUCUGCUGUGGUGAGGUUGGGGUGCCCCGGGACGGCAACGUCUGGUGUGCAUACAACAAGCAAGUUGACUGUCCCUUGUAAGCCCAAUGGGUCUGAGGGUGUGUAUCCACCCUGGAUCUCACCUGAAACCAGAGGGUCUCCAGGGUACAACUGUGUGUGGAAUGAGCAGGCUUAGGGGCAGUGGGACCCCCGAGGAGUUAUCGUUUCCUCCUGAUGCAGACUCAUGUGGGCUACAGAUUGGCAUCUCAGUGUGGUGAUGUAACGUCCUCCGCUCAGCAAGGUGGUGUGCUUUGGGCAUGCCAGUGGUCUCUCUCGUUUCACUGUUGAAUGCCACCAGAUGGCUAUGUGAUGCUUUGUGUGUGGUGGUCACUGGCUCCAAUGAAAGGCCUGUCCAGGACGUGGUGCCCCCAGCAUCCUCUGUGGGGUCUCGUACUGAAUCACCGCAGCUGGUCUCCUCGACGAAAAGUCGCUAGUCCACGGAUGAAAUGCAGCUAAGGGAAGUCGGCAAACUGGCUGUGCACCUUCGGAAGAUGCAGUGGCUCCAGAGGCCAAGUGUCUCAUUGUGGGAGGCCCCAUGGCUGUGGCCAGGACCCCGGUCCUGUGCUGUGGCUGUGGGGGUCACUGGAGGCUGGGGAUUCCUAUCCCUGGCCACUGGUGGCCACCCUCCCCGCCAGGUCAGCCUACAUGUCAUGUGUGGACUGCCACCUGGCAGGACUGUCUAUAGUGGCUCAUGUGGAACUGUUGCUGUGCAGGGGAAUCUAACUGUUUAAUUGAAACCCAGCUUUGUGACGGGACCAGCUGGCUGGUUCCAUGAGGUGACUUCUGCCCAGUGCUCUGAUUGUCAAUGCGAAGAGAUUCAGCCAAGCGCGGGUAAACGGCGGGAGUAACUAUGACUCUCUUAAGGUAGCCAAAUGCCUCGUCAACCAAUUAUUGACGCGCAUGAAUGGAUCAAUGAGAUUCCUGCUGUCCCUAGUCGCUGUCUGGUGAACCAACAACCAAGGGAACGGGCUUGGAUGUGUCAGCGGGGAAAGAAGAGCCUGUUGAGA